rnacentral:rRNA from 1 species
GACGAACGCUGGCGGCGUGCUUAACACAUGCAAGUCGAGCGGUAAGGCCCUUUCGGGGGUACACGAGCGGCGAACGGGUGAGUAACACGUGGGUGACCUGCCCUCAGCUCUGGGAUAAGCCCGGGAAACUGGGUCUAAUACCGGAUAUGACUUCAUGACGCAUGUUGUGGAGUGGAAAGCCUUGUGCGGCUGAGGAUGGGCCCGCGGCCUAUCAGCUUGUUGGUGGGGUGA